rnacentral:rRNA from 1 species
AUUGAACGCUGGCGGCAGGCUUAACACAUGCAAGUCGAGCGGAGCGAGGGUGCUUGCACCUUAGCUUAGCGGCGGACGGGUGAGUAAUGCUUAGGAAUCUGCCUAUUAGUGGGGGACAACAUUCCGAAAGGAAUGCUAAUACCGCAUACGCCCUACGGGGGAAAGCAGGGGAUCUUCGGACCUUGCGCUAAUAGAUGAGCCUAAGUCGGAUUAGCUAGUUGGUGGGGUAAAGGCCUACCAAGGCGACGAUCUGUAGCGGGUCUGAGAGGAUGAUCCGCCACACUGGGACUGAGACACGGCCCAGACUCCUACGGGAGGCAGCAGUGGGGAAUAUUGGACAAUGGGCGGAAGCCUGAUCCAGCCAUGCCGCGUGUGUGAAGAAGGCCUUUUGGUUGUAAAGCACUUUAAGCGAGGAGGAGGCUCUUAAGGUUAAUACCCAAGAUGAGUGGACGUUACUCGCAGAAUAAGCACCGGCUAACUCUGUGCCAGCCGCCGCAGUAACAC